rfam:Amborella trichopoda AMTR_V1.0_contig_44772, whole genome shotgun sequence.
CCCACACCCAUGUAUGUAGGACCCCAAAAGAUUACCAUUGAAUUUGACGCAGAUAUCUAGAAAAGUUAUCACAUGGGUCUGGGACUUGACUUUUCUAGAGAUCUGUGCCAAAUUCAAUGGUGAUCUUUUGGGGUCCUACAUACAUGGGUGUGGG